UACGGGAGGCAGCAGUGGGGAAUCUUGCGCAAUGGGCGAAAGCCUGACGCAGCCAUGCCGCGUGAAUGAUGAAGGUCUUAGGAUUGUAAAAUUCUUUCACCGGGGACGAUAAUGACGGUACCCGGAGAAGAAGCCCCGGCUAACUUCGUGCCAGCAGCCGCGGUAAUACGAAGGGGCUAGCGUUGCUCGGAAUUACUGGGCGUAAAGGGCGCGUAGGCGGAUCGUUAAGUCAGAGGUGAAAUCCCAGGGCUCAACCCUGGAACUGCCUUUGAUACUGGCGAUCUUGAGUAUGAGAGAGGUAUGUGGAACUCCGAGUGUAGAGGUGAAAUUCGUAGAUAUUCGGAAGAACACCAGUGGCGAAGGCGACAUACUGGCUCAUUACUGACGCUGAGGGCGCGAAAGCGUGGGGAGCGAAACAGGGAUUAGAUACC
rnacentral:rRNA from 1 species